rnacentral:rRNA from 1 species
UACAGAGGUCCCGAGCGUUGUUCGGAUUUAUUGGGCGUAAAGGGUGCGUAGGCGGCUUAGCAAGUCGGAUGUGAAAUCCCUCGGCUCAACCAAGGAAGUGCAUCCGAAACUGCUGAGCUUGAGUACGAAAGAGGAUCGCGGAAUUCCCGGUGUAGAGGUGAAAUUCGUAGAUAUCGGGAGGAACACCAGUGGCGAAGGCGGCGAUCUGGGUCGAUACUGACGCUGAGGUGCGAAAGCGUGGGGAGCAAACAGG